CAAUAGCGUAUAUUAAAGUUGUUGCGGUUAAAAAGCUCGUAGUUGGAUUUCUGCUGAGAACGACCGGUCCGCCCUUUGGGUGUGUAUCUGGCUCUUUCUUGGCAUCUUCUUGGUGAACGUUGCUGCACUUGACUGUGUGGAGCGCUACCCAGGACUUUUACUUUGAGGAAAUUAGAGUGUUUCAAGCAGGCAUACGCCUUGAAUACAUUAGCAUGGAAUAAUAAGAUAGGACCUCGGUUCUAUUUUGUUGGUUUCUAGAGCUGAGGUAAUGAUUAAUAGGGAUAGUUGGGGGCAUUCGUAUUUAACUGUCAGAGGUUAAAUUCUUGGAUUUGUUAAAGACGGACUACUGCGAAAGCAUUUGCCAAGGAUGUUUUCAUUGA
rnacentral:rRNA from 1 species